CUGGUAGUGACAAUCCUGAUGACUUCAUCACCAUUAGCUGCAUUAUCCUUCACAGCAUCCUGAAGGAUGUCAGCUUCUUUCUUUGCCAGCAAGGCAUUGAUCUCAGUCCCUUCAUAUCUGUAAGCAGUCACCAGUCCAACCAGGAGCUGCGCCAAUCAAACAAAUGAUCAAUCAAUCAAAUACCAGAUUCCAAAUAAUCAAUGUAGUAAAAAAUCGCGAUUCCACUUAGAAAUGAAAGUUCUGGUAGAUGAACUACUGCUUCCUGUACUCAUGUACCAUCAUCUAAGUUGGUUGAGUUUGUGUGGAAUCAGGAUCGUUAAACAUAGCUGAAAUUGUAAAUUCGGGAUUUUGACUACAGUCCAAAUACUCAUAAACCCUGAGUACUUAGCACAGACUAUGAUGAAAAUGAUUUUAGAUUAUUUUAAGUCAUUCAUACACUACCUUCCUGGAAUCACCAAAGGUAUGAGCAGCCAAGUCCUCUUCGAGCGAUUUCUUGUAACGAGCCUGGUAAGCCUUCCUGACAGCUAGCAACUCUUCAGCUGAGUGAAUCGAUGAAAGCUCAACGAUGCAA
rnacentral:lncRNA from 1 species